ensembl:lncRNA
AGAGAGGAAGGGAAUGACAAGCAACCAGCAGGGCUUGCUGGACUGUGGGAAGCAGGACCGAGUGAGCAGGCUUGCCUCGCUGUGCUGGAGGAUCUCCCCUCCUCAGCAGGGCCUGUUCCCAGAGGUGAAUAUGGGCCCACUUAGACACAGGUGUGUGUGUCUGUGUAUUGUCAGCACCUGCAGGCAGAGAACGUCUCCAGGGCUGUGGCGUUUCCUCAUGCCCCCUGUUCUCAGAAAGCCCACACUGCAGGCUGCUGGCGAGAAGACCUCAGGAAGCAGGUCCUGUGAAGAGGUUCAAUCCAAUUUGCCUUCCCCAUGCUCCAGCAUUGACCUGGACAUUGGAAUUGAGAAAGAAAUGGGAAGAAAAGGAGGACUCUGCAGAGGUGAAUGAGAGGCACAGACUUCUCAUUGUUUUGGAGGAAAACAGAAUGGUGUGGUAUCCCAGAAGCUAAGACAACAAAGGGUUUCAAGGAGGAAGAGAACAACUGCAUCAACGCCAAAUGCUGCUGAGAGGUUGAGGAAGAACUGGACUGAUGAUCUCACACAGGCCUGAGGCUGUGGCCAAGGCAGGAAAAUGUGGGAAUGGCCUUUCUCUGAACGUUGACCUCUGCCACCUGCCAAGCACCUUAUGAUUUCCAGUUGUACUUCCUCACCAGCCUCGCUCAUAGAUAAGCCUUCCUAUCUUAGUAAUAAUUAAAUGUUCUUGUCCGAAACCAAUAGAGUAAAGAAGGUCCCUUAUCUCCUGCCAGCGCCAUCUACUCCUGCUGCAGGGCUUGGCUCAGAACCUUCCAGACCACAGUGGUGGUGGUUGCUUCAACUCAGAGGGUUCAUUGAUGCUGUUUGGUGCUCAUGAUUAGCUUUAAAGAAGAUUAGCCCUGAGCUAACAUCUGCUGCCAGUCCUCCUCUCUUUGCUGAGGAAGAAGCCAACAUCCAUGCCCAUCUACCUCUACUUUAUAUCUGGGACACCUGCCACAGCAUGUCAUGCCAAGCUGUGUGUAGGCCUGCACCCGGGAUCCAAACCUGCAAAUCCCAGGCUGCAGAAGCAGAGCAUGCGUACUUAACCACUGCGCCACCGGGCCACCCCAAUGUACAUGUAAUUUUUUUAAUUACUCAGACUUUGUCUCAAGGAGUAUACUGAUAGUAGAGGAAACUGACAAGAAAAUAACAAGUGCAACAUAGAAUUUCUAAAAGUGCUUUAAUAGAUGUAUAUGCAGCAUGAUGUAGGAGCACAAAAGCAUAUAAAAAUGAAGCAAAUAAUUUUGAAAUAGGAAGAUGGGUUAAACCUUGGCUAAGUAGGUGGCAUUUAUACUGGGGUUUGAGGAAGAGGUUUGGAAUAGGCAGAGAAGUGAAUGUGUUCUACUUCUUCAAUGUUCUACUCGUCCAUUCCUGGUUUUCCUUAAACCACUAAGCAUUGAGGAGUUUGUUUUCUAAAUCUUCACAGCCCAGUUUUAUUUACUAGAAGUGCCGCCUCAUCAGACUUGGUGACUGUUCUCUUAGCAGAUCAAGGUUCCUGGGCAACAUCUUGCAGCCUUUACAGAAUCAGAGCUUCUUGCCCUGUGUGGUAGCUCUUCACUGCAGCUGCCCCCGCAGUCCAGGCACUAGCAACAGAAAUGAGUCAAGGAGCCUUCAUCUUUGUGUAAAUAAGGGCCCUGUUGUAUCGUCACGCUGCAGGGGCAGGGUGUGGUCUGCAGGCCGCAGGGUGAUGCCUCAAACUGUCUGGACUCAAAGUCUAAGCGCCGCAUCCAGGUUCUUAAGCAAGUGAUUGAGCCUGUGCAACAUGUCUCUCCUGUUCCCCCAUCCCCUCCAAGACUGGAGAUGAGCUGGGCAGGGUGACCUGUGUCACAAGCCGAUUGUCAGAAUAUCACAUUAACAAUCAUUUGUUAGGUCCUCUUUCCUGUUUUGUCAGUAAAGCUCUGUUGAGACUGAUGGUGAGGGGAGAUUCAGGCCGAGGUAGUCCAACUUCCGCUGAGUGGCUUAUGACUUCAGACAUGUAUCCUCGUGUUGGAGAGUGAUGUUCAUCAGAGAACAUUUUCAGCCCAAUGAUAUAUUCAAUCCGGGCCACAUUUUAUUGUCAUUAAUGAGACUGCAUGCUCUUUAAUAUUUUUUUACUUUUUUCAAAAUUAGGUAUUACAGCCCCCAACUUAACAAUAUUUAAAACUCUCCAUCUCUGCCACUCAUGGGCUUGUCAUCUCUGCUCUACUUGAGUCUGUCUACACAUGCAUUUUCUCUCCUGGUUAUUUGAAAUGACUUAAGAUGUUCAUACACAGUGUGUCUUCCGGUUGUGCAAAUAUUUUCGUGUUGCUCAUGAUUAAGUUGCUUGCAUGUGCCCGAUAGAGUCUGUUGAAUUUCUAAGGUCACAGUAAUUGGCAGAUGGAAGAAGUUCCAUCCUAUGAACUUUGAGGAAGGCUCUGGCUGCCUUCCUGCUUGACAGAGCAGGGAGGGAGAUGAAUUCUGCUUAAGCUGACAGCGGGCUGCAUAACAAACAGCCCAAGCCAUCAAACUGUAUUAUUUUUAACUAACACGCAUUAUUCCCUUUGAAAAGUAAAAUCUCCUCUUGAUAGUUUUCCUCCACCAAAGAAUGCACUUUCCUCUCCCUAGAAAUGGCAGCUCUGCCUCUCCUAGAUGCUCAACUCGGACAGUUAUUGCCCUAAAUGACGGAUGAGCUCACUUCCCAGCAGCUCAUCUCGGCCACUCGGCAGCAGCCCUAGACAGUCUGGCAAACCUCUUCUGGUCCGUAGCGUUCUCUCAGACCUGCCCUGGCUCCUCUCCGCUGAGCUGGACUUAGUCCUCUCAAAUCUGUUGACCUACCUCAGCCCUUCUCUCUUGCUGGCAGUUAUUUCUCCUUAGCCUCCCUUAUUUCCCUGCAGGCUCAAUUUCUUAUGUAAAUGUUGGGUGACCACUUUGGGCCAGCUGCUGUCUCCAUGCGAUUGCUCACCAGAACAGUAGGUUUCCGGAGCUGGCUCUCCUAAAGAGAACUUUCUAUCCCUCAGUGGAACUGCAUUCUAUAAAGGGAUUGUGUUCUCAGCCCUUACGUAAAGAACGAGAACCAUUUAGAGUCAAACUUAACUUGGGAAAUCUCACAUUGGGGACCACACACCACUCUCAAUAGGUCCAGCACAACCAGAUUUGCCUCCAAGGUUGGAACAGAUUGCUAUAUCCUUUUUUGGACAUGAGACGAAUUAAUUUGUUCUUUUAUUUUAGUAGCCAUUGCGUAAAAUCACACCUAGCGCGGCAAGAAGUUCACGCUAUAAGAAGCAAGGGGGAAUGAAACUCAACUGCAUUAAUAGUCUAUGGAUGCUUCACCACUCAUGUUCUCUGUGCAUGUUCUCUCUUUCUCUCUCCCCCUCCAUCCAUCCCUCCAUCCCCCUUUCCUCCCUUCUUCCCUGCCACCUCCUUCUCUCCCCUUCUCCCCCACCUCCUUCUCUCUCUGUCUCUCCCUUCCCUCUCUCCCUGGCUCCAUCUCACCAUCUUCUCUUCUCUUUCUUCUCUUCUCUUCUAUUCCUUCUCCCUCUCUCUCUCUCUUCUUCUCCAUUUUAUCCUGCUCCUCCUCCUUUCCCUCCUUCCCUCUUCCCUCUGACGCACACACAGGAAUCAUUGCAUUUAACGGUAAGCUGUCUUCACGUACCUGUAUUAAAAAGCUGAAUCAUCCUGUUCUAUCCCACCUCAAGGUCUUAGUGAUCAUCUCUGAAAGCUUGGCCUUAACUUGCCCCACUGUCUUCCUGUCGUUUUCUUCAUUUCCACAGUCUCUCUCUCCUCCCUGUGAUCCACCCACGUCAAUCUUACUUUUCCAUCUUUAUUCUCUCGGAGGUCUUGAUCUCCUUCCCCCC